rnacentral:rRNA from 1 species
AUGGCGCUGGCUACACCGCACCUUCUCCUGUUGCUUUGUCCGAGGCGAGGCCGGGCUCUGCCGCGUCGGGAUUCAGGGUGUGGCACGGCACACCUGCGCGUGGGUGGUUCUCUUCUUCCCCAAUAUCAUCUCGCUAUUCCAGCUCCUGGAUGUUUAACUGCAGGAAGCUGUAUUGAAAAACAUUUUGCAGUGAAGUUUGAAUGCAGUUCAUUUUUAUUUUGCAUUUUGAAAUGGUUAUGCAGUGUGCAGUGCUGUGCUGUGCAGUUAACUACUGGGGUACUCAAGUGCCAAAUUUGGGAGUUCACUUUGCUCUAG